CCCCAGCAUGGAAUUCACAGCAAACAGCCAGCUCUGGAGUCUCCUUCCCCAGCAGCCGGAACAGGCAACACUGAGGGUCACCAUAUCGUGAACUGAGGUUCCAACAAACUGCACUGCAGAUGGAUGAGAAGUAGGUUUCCAUCUACUCUUCAAGCUCUGUGGUCCACUAAACAUACUUAGAAUGGAUGACACAUGAUUUGAAGCAAAUCCAAUUCAAUCCUUCUGCUCUCUUUGGCCAAACAUCUGAAGAUAAUGAGGAUGCUCACGCAGUAAAGAUGGAACCAAUUUGAUCAUUUAGCAUGUGGAGAAGGAAGUGCUGAUUACAUAUCGUCAGGACACUGAAGCAGAUGGUUUUGGUUACUGAACUUUCCCAGGUGGCUAAAAACUAGGCAAGUCACUAGGUUUAUACAAAUGUACAUGAAAUAUAGCAAUAUCUUGAUAGUCUACAAGCACUUUGAAUUUUGUCCUUUCUUUUUCGAUCAGGUAAGAACUGAUAUGGUAUAAACCGAAUUUUGUAUAAUAUGACUUCUUUCAUCCAUUAAAAUAAAAUCUAUCUUUGCAACCCAGGUAAACCAAUUUAAAAAGUCUUCAGAUUUAUCUGAAAAAUUAAAAAUGCCUUAAAAGAUGUAAUGUGACUGAAUUAAUGCAUUUAAGGGUUCUUCCAAAUUCAUAACUGUAGUGAACUAAUCCUAUAUCUGAACCCUACACUCUCUAAUUAUUUUUGGUCUUUGGGAUUAAUUUGUAUUUUUUUAAGUUGACGUUGCUAGUGAUAUAUUGUUAUAAUAGAACUUAAAGUUUU